UAACCAAACUUCCCCAAGAGAAAGUGUUAUAUAACCACCCUUCUUCAAGGGAAAGUUUGGUUAUUUAACACUUUCCCUUGGAGAAGGGUGGUUAUAUAACACUUUCUCUUGGGGAAGUUUGGUU
rnacentral:pre_miRNA from 1 species